CCCCAGUGUCAUGCAGUGACUUCCUGAGUGCCACCCAGGCUCGGAACAUCGCCUGCAACCUCUCUUAGCACACACAGUGCCUAAAAAAAACGGGAACCUUCAGGCACCUCCUAUUACUGACAGCCAUCCUCCGUGACUCAGGAAUCCGCUUCUGGAUGCUAGCGUGCAUUCCCGCUCCCUUUCCCUGCAGUGCACAGAAGAGAAACGGAGCUGAGUGCUGACACAGAACAGCAGCAGCAUGCAACCAGCUGACCAGGGUGAGGAUUAUUGUUUACUUCACGCCAGACACAGUGAAGUGCAGGCAGAGUAAAUCACAUGCCAUCCAAACCAGCUGGGAAGCAGCGGAGGUCAGCAGGGUCUGUGUGCUGUCCUGCACAUCCCACACCCUUGUCAGCUCUGCCUGUCUCAAGGAGGGUGCUUCUUCCCAAGUCUCUCAGUUACAGACCUGAACUUCAAACACCUCCAGUACACUCAGGGAGAGAACUCUGGCUGCCAAGACUCAUCCGUCCGUGCCUCUCUCAUCAACAUCCCCAUGCCUGCAUCUGGCUUCCUGGAAUCUGAGGGAAGGCAGAUUACUGCUCCAUGCUCCCUGUGUCCAUCAGGCUCCAUAAAAUCAAUCUCCACCCAAAUCACUGCUGAUCUUUCCUGCCAUCCCUUCUGGAUGAGCCAAAUGAGUGAGGAUGGAUGGAGUAAGGACUGGGCAGUGCUGGCCGUGUCUCUGCCACAUCCACGCGUGCUGUGCCUCCAGCAGGCACCCAACACACUCCCACCCUGCAAAACCCCAUUUCUGGGGGCUUCCAACCCAACCCUCUCAACCUCUGGAAAAGAAAAACAGAGGUAAUGCCUCAGGAACGUGCAGAGGACUGGGGUAAAGGUGCUGUUUCAUGACCAGAGGGCAGCUCUGAAGGGACCGGCUCAAGCCAGCGUGGCUGUGCGCCAGCACACACCAACCCCGUCCUUCUCCCAUGGUGACUGCAAAAAAAGAAGUCCAUUUGUCCUUUU